CCGCCCGCCCCUCCCCGAGGCCGCGCCCCAGCUCGCAGGACCAUCGGUGACCACAGUCCCUCACACGGGGACCAGGACCAGCGGUGACCACAGUCCCUCCCAAGAGGACUAGGACCAGCAGUGACCACGUUCCCUUCCACAGGGAACAGGCAGCGGUGACCACAGACCAUUCUCACGGGGACCAGGACCAGCGGUGACCACAGUCCCUCCCAAGGGGACCAGGACCAGCGCCUCAAAAAGGUAAAGUGGGAAUGAAGAAAGCCAUGACAUGGGAUAACCACCGUCAGUGGCAGGUCUCCGGCCUCCCUACGCAGCAUGGUGACCCCCAGGCUUAUCAAGAUAUAAAAGUCCAUCCUGGAGGGCACAUUCGGCUCCGCAGGCUUCUCCCAGUCUCUCUACAGCUUAUGAGUGGUUGAACCAGAUUCAGAACUGCUCUCCAGAGGACUUUUGGAAAUUUGGGGAUGGAGAAGGAAAUUUGUUGUCAGAAUGAUUAAGGAAUGUCGUCAAUAUUUCACAACUAGGCCCAGAAGUUUUAACACCUUGCAACGUAUAGGACAUCCCUGCCUAAAGAAAAAAUGCUUUUCCCCAAAUGCCAGUAGAUACCUGUAUUAGUCAGGGUUCUCCAAGGAAACAGAACUAAUGGGAAAUUCAUAUUCGUAAAUGGAGAUUUAUUAUGAGGCAUUGGCUCAUGUAAUCAUGAAGGCUGAGAAGAACCCUGAUCUGCUGUCUGCCAUACGGAGAACCAGGAAAGCUGGUGGUGUAAUUCAGUUCCAGUCUGAAGGCCUGAGCAAUGGUGUAAAUCCCAGUUUGAGGGAGGAGGGGGAAUGGUGGGGGUGGUUGCUGAGAAGAUGACAUGAAAUGUGCCCGC
rnacentral:lncRNA from 1 species